AUACUUACCUGGCAGGGGAGACACCAUGAUCAAGAAGGUGGUUCUCCCAGGGCUGGACAGAGAGGCAUGAGGUCGAAGCCAAGAGGCCGGGUCCCUGGCCGUUGGCCUGGAUUUGGUGGUAACUGCCCCAGUCAGUUGUUCUGGAGGGAACCCUUGCUUUUCCUU